rnacentral:lncRNA from 1 species
AUUAUUUGUAUUACAUUAUAUAUUUAUUUAUUUUCAUGUAUAUUAUAGUACCAAUUUCUUAUAAAUCUAGAAUAUUGCCUCUGCCCUAUAAAGGGCAGAGCCCUUUCUUCUCCUUCCGCACCGCGCGCGAUCUAGCCCUAACCGCCGCAUUUCUUAUAAAUCUAGAAAUGUGAUAUAAUAUUUGUUCCCUAUUUCUUCCUUCUUCCAGGUCGACGUCUCUCUGCCGUCGUCACCGAAGUCCCCAUCGAGUCUCCGCACCGACCGCCGUCUCUCCGCCGUCAAACUACAGGUAUGUCGAGAUGGAUCUAUUAGUGGUACAAUUAGUGCUAUAAUUAGUGGUACAAUUAGUGGUCUAAAUUAGUGGUACAAUUAUGAUAUAUUUAAUUUUUAGCAAAAUGCUAUACACUAAACCCUAAACCUAAGCCCUAAACCCUAAACUCUAACCCCUGAACCCUAAACCCUAAACCCUCAACCCUAACCCCUAAACCCUAAACCCUAAACCCUAAGCUCUAAACACAUAUACUCUCUCUCUCUCACUUAUUUGUGAUCGGUUCAGAUCAUGCCACUUUUGUUAGCAAAUGAUGUAAACCCUAAGCCGUAAACCCUAAACCUUGAAACCUAAGCCGUAAACCCCAAACCCUUAGCCGUAAACUGUUGCGGAAAACCCUAAGUUGUAAACCCUAGUUUUAUAUAUUGUUUCCUUGUCAGGUAUACACAAUAGUGCUAGUAGUCAUGUGUCACCAAUUUCUUAUAAAUCUAGAAUAUUGCCUCUGCUCAAAUUCAUAUAUAUUUAUUUAUUUUCAUGUAUAUUAUAGUACCAAUUUCUUAUUUAUUUUCACGUAAUAUAUAUACGAUGUUCUUUAAUGUAAUUAGUGAUGUUCUAUGGUGUAUUUAGUUUUUUCACGUAAUAUAUAUUUGAUGUUCUUUAACAUAUUUUAGCGAUGUUCACAUAGUAUACAUAUAGUGUUCUGUGAUGUAUUUAGUGAUGUUCACACAAUAUAUAUGCGAUGUGAUGUUUUAUAAUUUAUUUAGUGAUAUUCUAUGGUGUAUUUAGUAAUGUUCACUUACUAUUAGUGGUAGAAUUAGUGCUAUAAUUAGUGGUACAAUUAGUGGUAUAAAUUAGUGGUACAAUUAUGAUAUAUUUAAUUAUUAGCCAGUGAUAUACUCUAAACCCUAAACCUAAGCCCUAAGCCCUAAGCCCUAAGCCCUAAACCCUAACCCCUAAACCCUAAACCCUAGUUUUAUAUAUUGUUUCCUUGUCAGGUAUACACAGUAGUGCUAGUAGUCAUGUGUCACAUAUUUCUGCAGAAAUGGCCGAUCCGAGAGAACACGAAGAGGAAAUGAUGAACCUGAUCUGCGGUCCCACUGAAGAAGUUUAUCACGAUGAUCGCGAAGGUGAUGAGAACCCUGAGGGCAUCGAUGACUGCUCUCAGUAUUUGGUCGACCCGAAUGAGCAAGACAAUGCUGGCCAGCAGGUCUAUAAUAUGGCAGUCUCCUUUGUUUUUACAGAUAUAAUUCAAAAUAAUAUCUUGUAUUAAAUUGUCUUGUUUCUUUCUAUAUAGCCCUCUGGCUCGACGACAACCACGGGGACCAGCCGGAGAGUACGAGACCCAAAGAAGCCUAUGGAGGGCCGGUUAGUAAUAUCAGAAUUCGAGGAAGCAAC